UACGGAGGGUGCGAGCGUUGUCCGGAAUCAUUGGGCGUAAAGGGCGCGUAGGUGGCCCGGUCAGUCUUUGGUGAAAGCGCGGGGCUCAACCCUGCGUCGGCCAGGGAUACUGCCGCGGCUCGAGCACUGUAGAGGCAGGCGGAAUUCCGGGUGUAGCGGUGGAAUGCGUAGAGAUCCGGAAGAACACCGGUGGCGAAGGCGGGUCUCUGGGCAACAACUGACGCUGAGGAGCGAAAGCGUGGGGAGCGAACAGG
rnacentral:rRNA from 1 species